ACGGGUGAGUAAUAUAUCGGAACGUGCCCAAUCGUGGGGGAUAACGUAGAGAAAUUUACGCUAAUACCGCAUACGAUCUAAGGAUGAAAGCGGGGGAUCGCAAGACCUCGCGCGAUUGGAGCGGCUGAUAUCAGAUUAGGUUGUUGGUGAGGUAAAAGCUCACCAAGCCGACGAUCUGUAGCUGGUUUGAGAGAACGACCAGCCACACUGGGACUGAGACACGGCCCAGACUCCUACGGGAGGCAGCAGUGGGGAAUUUUGGACAAUGGGCGAAAGCCUGAUCCAGCAAUGCCGCGUGCAGGAAGAAGGCCUUCGGGUUGUAAACUGCUUUUGUACGGAACGAAACGGCUCUUUCUAAUAAAGAGGGCUAAUGACGGUACCGUAAGAAUAAGCACCGGCUAACUACGUGCCAGCAGCCGCGGUAAUACGUAGGGUGCGAGCGUUAAUCGGAAUUACUGGGCGUAAAGCGUGCGCAGGCGGUUAUAUAAGACAGUUGUGAAAUCCCCGGGCUCAACCUGGGAAUUGCAUCUGUGACUGUAUAGCUAGAGUACGGUAGAGGGGGAUGGAAUUCCGCGUGUAGCAGUGAAAUGCGUAGA
rnacentral:rRNA from 3 species